rnacentral:lncRNA from 1 species
AACAUUAUAUCCAUAAAGAGACUAAAAAACACAAGUGACAAGAAAAAAGAAUAAUGCAGUAAUGUAGUUAUAAAUUGGACUUUGAGAGUUAAGCAGCAUGGUAUGCAAAAAUGCUUCGUUUUUUGGCACGUAUGGAUAGAGAAUUAAACCGAAUUUAUUGAUCAUUACAUAUAAUUCAAUUAAGAUAUUGUAUGAAAGUAUGAUUUCUUCUAUUCUCUUGUAAGAAUUGAAGGCUUUUUGAUUGGGUGAGUUCAAAGAAGUAUUGUUUAGUCUGCCUUAUUUUCCUUUCUUCAUUUUUUUCCUUAUAUCAAAAAAGUUAUUGUAUGAAAGUAUGAUCUCUUCUAUUCUCUUGUAAGAAUUGAAGGCUUUUUGAUUGGGUGAGUUUAAAGAAGUAUUGUUUAGUCUGCCUUAUUUUGCUAUGCUAAAUCUAAAUAUUUAAUUUUGAUCUGUAUCUGUUUGAAUUCUGUCCUCCUUAAAAUUGAUACUAGUGAAAAUGAUGGAAAGAAUCAACCAAGAAAAUAAAAAGAAAAAAAGUUCUCUCAAUGAUGUAGCUUACAGCACUGAACUCUUUUUUUUAUACUUACAUUCUUUCCCGAAGAUUUAUAUGUCAAAAAUGUUACACAUUUAAUUUUGCCGAACUUCCAUUUAUAAAGUUACACAGAAAGGAUUGAGAAUUAAUAGAUCAUAAUUGUUCCCUACUGCAUGCUUGAUAGCUAUUAAUACAUGAUCAAAGGAUUGACAAGUGUUUUACAUGUGUCUAAAUAAUGUACACAACAAUUUACAUGAUAACCAGGUAGCGGAGAUGGGAGCAUAUCGCAUCACUAAAGGUUCAUCACUUAAAGGAGGCAAAGUCCCAUUUAACUGAAAUUGGAUAUGCAAACCACACUUUGGCUAUCAUCAGCACUAUGCCAGAUCAGGGAGUUCCAGAUUUUACAACUACAAUUCGUAUCAAGCAUGUGUCUUUGUGUGUGUCUGUGUGAGUGAGAGAGAGAGAGAGAGAGAGCGAGUCAUUUCAACUACAUUACUUGUCAAUUUUCAUUUCCUUCGCUUUCAUUACUUGUUCCAAGAAUGAUAACACAGAAUUACGAUCAGUCCCAGGAUUCUUCUUUCCCUGUAAUUUAGAAAACUGCAAGUUAGACCAGCACUGAAUACUCAUAAAUUUAAGGAGAUUAUUCAUGAUAUAAAGACUUCCAGCAGAUUCCUAUUGCCUAGUGCCAAUCAAGAAUUAGAAGAACUUUCAGCAAACAUUACAAAUUUUACUGAAAGCAAGGGCUCUGAAUAUUUUGUUUGACUGAGAGUGUGAACUUACCUCUGCUCCACAUUAAAAAAGACAACAAGAAACAAAACCGGAGUAUAGAAAAUUCAAAUACUACCAAGCCAAUUAAAAGCAUGUUGUGCCCAAAAAAUGACAGCAUGACCACUUAUUAAUUGUCCUAGAUUGCUCUAUGUAAGAAAACAUAUCAUUACAGUUUUAACUAUCAUUCGAUACUUGAUUACAACUAAUAAGAGCAAGCAGAUACUCACCCAGCCAAAUGAAAACGGCAGAUUGUUUCCAGUUCCCAAAGGAACUGUCGCAACUGGAGGUGGAUGUGGCAAUUUAAGAUCACAAACAACCCCCAGAAGCCAGCCAGCUGUCCCAUCACCACCAGCAACCUAAAGAACAAGCUACUCGUGAGAAGCAAAAUAAACAAAUUAAUAAUAAUAAUAAUAAUAAUAACUGCACUGCUGCUCCUUGUUAUCUGAGGCUCAACUUACAAUUAUUCUUAAUCUCUCAUGAAUCUUAGAGGCAAAUUCAUCUUUUUCUUGUUUCAACUUUUCUAGUCUCAUGUAAACUCUGUGAAGCACCUUAUCAGGGGCCUCUUCCCCCACAUCAAAUACCUGAAAUUAGUUACACAGAGAUAAACCCCAAAGCAAAUAUCCGAAUAUUAAUCGUGAAAGACUAAACGUACCUGAUGUUCAUUGAGGAUACUUUUAUAUGUUUUAAGAAGAUCCCCACCCAACUGACCGCCACUUUUGGAGUUGAUAAACACUAGUACUGGAAAUUUAGGCGCAUCAGGAACAUCAGAGAUCUUUGUUUCAUCAUUAAAUAUAUAUGUAGGGAUGCAGAAUUCCUUCAACAAGUCCGAGUUAGAUUCUGCCAUUGUCGGGCCCAACUGCUUACCAAAUUAUCAAUGAUUGUCAAAAUCAAGGUACAACAGAAUUAAAAACAAAAUAUUUAAAAUAUAAAUAACAUAGAAUUUAAAUUUUCCACCAUGGUGAACCAUGAAGAGAUUAAAAUCAUAGAAUUAUGUGAUCUCUUAUAUAAAGCCCCUGCAUUACGGAUUUCCAGAAGCUCAUUCGCUGAACAACAAUAACGAUGAGAUUGAUUAUACCAGUAAAUAACAGGGUGAGCGACUUAUCAGUACUUAAAUGAUUAGAAGGGAAAAGGUUCCAAUCAGAAAGAAAGUUUCUAGCCAAGUCAACUCUCUCUAAGUCACAAGUCCAAAAAAUAAAAGAAAAUAAGUUUAUGUUAUAACAUUCGAAUUCAGGAAUUUUAACAAACACGAAAAAUGCACAAAAAGGCAUCCAUUGCAAGCAAAAAGAAAAAGAGAAGAAAAUUUUACUCAACCGUAUUUAGAAACUGUUGAGCAGAAAGCUUCGCUAAGAGAAGCUUUCUCGGUGGGUGUUGGAGAAUGUGAAUAAGAACACCAACCAAAUAGUAGAAAUUAAAAGGAGAUUCGAUUGCUUGCGAUUACGGGAUGAAAUUUGAUUGAAAAAGAGAGAUUUAUGAGGUACCUGGUAAAUGAAUCUGAAGAGAUCUGGUUUCGAACUAUCUUUCUCUGUUUUUGUUGAAUUAAUAAAGCUUUUUUACAGUUCGUUAACUCGGGUUCUGAAAUUUGUAUGAAACGUUUAAAGAGGAGAUGUAGAAGGACAGAGUUGACUUGUUCUGUAUAGGUAUUUAUUAUUACUAUUUUUUUAUUUUAUAAAAGAGAUCAUAUGGUUGCCUUUUGAGAACUUAUUUCCGAAAUUAUUUGAUGAAAAAAUAAAGAGCACAAGACCAACGUCAAUAAAUGUUUACGUUAUGGAAACCAAUCGUUUGGGAUUUUUUUUUUAAGGCUUUUUCCAUUGUUAUAUUAUCCUGUUAAUGGAGCCGAGCAGCUGCACCCUUUAUGAUUCGUUGAACUAAAAGGCCGAUAAUACGUUCUGACGUCAGAUUCCACUUGGCAAAUUCUUGGGGUCUACCACUGUUACGAGAAUCCUCCCGCCGCGAUCAUUAUAGCCGUUGCAAGUCUUUUGUGUGCCUUUCAUAAGGCAUUUGCCUUAAUAAAGGUUCUUUCAUAAGGCAUUUGGUUUCAUAAAGGCGCCUUAUGCCUCUGAAGGCUGUGUGGUACUUUUUCUUAUUUAUUCCAUACCUUAUUAUUUGAUCACACACCUUAACACCAGUUCCUCUAUUUAUAAAAGAUCUUUAAGCUUUAAGAUGUAAAAUAUUUUUCACAUAAUUCAAAGAGCAUUAAUAGUGUUGUAAAACAGAUUAAAUGUUAAUCAACCUGUACAGCCACAAAUAUAGGUUGAGCAAACAUCGAUUCCAGACUUUAUUUUUUUCAUCCUUUGGACAAAAAUUUUCAUUCAACAAAAGGAAAAAAACACCUAAUUCAAUUGCAAUAGCUGGUAUUGCUACAAAACCAAGUAUCAAUCUCUAGUUUAUGUUUGAGGCCAACCAAGGAAGAUUCCAAAGACAAUGAAUACUUCAAUGAGGGAAGUCAGACACCCAAGUUUCAUAACAAAGGAGAUUUCAAUUAAGUAUACAAAAGAAACCAUGAGUGAACAGCCACCACCAAUCCUAGCAACUAUGCGAACCUGUUAGAAGUAAUGGGAAACAUGGUGCAAAACCCAUUAAAAGUUUACCUUAUAGAAUGUGGCUACUGCUAGGAUAAUUGUGUAAUGCCUACCUAUGUAAUUUGAGGUUUUGCCAAAUACAAGUGAGCCUAUGAGUGAAAGUACAUUCAAGUUAAUCUGACAAAAAAAAAAAAAGAAUACAUCCAGGCUACAAAACAAGAUUUCUACUUAAACUAUGUGAUUUUGAGGUUUUCUUUGAUAAACAACACUGCCCCAUUCAUUACACCAAUAUCUACAAAAGAUAUACACAGUAAUUUAUCCAAAUUUUCACUGAUGGUGAAAAAGGAGUGUGAUUUGAAGCCAUGCAGGAUACCAGCAUUAACUAGUCAUGGGUUUUGAUUAGUAAUCAAGAAACUAUUUUAUUAUAUCCCUACCUGGGUUCUUGACAAUUUUAGGGGGAAAAAAAGGAAUUAGAAAUGAGACAAAUGAAAGGUGACUCACCAUAGCCUAAGAGAAUAGAGUUUGCAAAGACUAAAAAUGCAUAAAAAAAAUGAAAAAUCAUACCAAACAAUGUAUAUAUUAAAACCAUAAAAGAAAGGAGCUGGAAAGAAACUUUUUUUUCUUUUUCUCCCCUGUGAUCUCUCUAUUCUAGUUCCUUCCCUGUAAACAUAUUCAGAACCUUCAUUAAUGCAACAUCGUAAGCUUCAACCCAAACUUUCUGCUUGAUUCCUUCAUCCCCUCUUAUUUAUUGUUCCAUUCCCCUUUUUUCUUUUUCUUUUUUUACUUUUUUUUCACUCAUUUCAAUCUCCAAAACCUUCUUUCUUCAAAAGCUUCAACCUUUUCUUUCAUCUCUGAAUGUUUCUUGGAAAAGCUUUUAAAAGCUUUUAAGAGUAGGUUUUUUUACCACAUCUACCCACCCAAUCCCAUUUAAUACAUUACUAAGCUGUCCCCUAUAAAAUCAAUUAGAGACAAGUUUUAUAUAUCUUAUAGAUAUCCAAAACUACAUGAUAAUUUGAUUAAAAACUAUAAUAAUAUUAGUUUUUUAUACAUGUGCUCUGUUAAUUUUAUAAUGGAAAGGGAUUAACUUACGUAAAAAAAUUAUAUACUUUUUUCUAACCAUUGAUUUUAAUAGAUCCAACAAAUGAAAUUAACCCAUUUUUUUCUCUUUUUCACUUGACUUUCUCAUCUUUGAUCUAUUGAAAUCAAUGGUUAAAAAAUGUGUAAAUUAAUAAUUAAUUAUAUGAUUUUAUAUUGUAUCAUUAAUAUCAUAUUUUUUUCAAUAUUAUAUUUAAAUUUUAAAUAUAAAUAUGCAAAUCUUAAUAGUGAAGAAGGAUUACAUGUUCCUUUUGCCAUAACAAUUUGAAUACCAAUGCUAGUUUUAUUGUUCUUUUAGUUAUUUGAUGUAUGAAGAAGCUAUUGUUUGUAUCACAUAUUUAUUUUAUUUAAAUUUUUUUAGAUAAACAAUGUGUUUUAUUUAUCUAAAGAGAAGAUAAUAUCUUGUAGCUUUUCUAAAUGGUACAAACUAUAUAUUGGUAAAUAUAAAUACAAAAUAAAAUAUAGAAAAUGCUAGUGAAAAUCUCAUAUUCUCAUAUGUUAUCCCACGAAUCUAAAUACAUAAGAUGCACUAAGAAUUUUUACAAUUUAUAAUUAUAUUAAAAUUAUAUAUAUUUUUUAAGAGACUUACUUUUGAGGAGUUGGAUCCUAAAAAAUUCACUCAUGUCAGUCGUAUUUCAUUUAAAUUCAUUCUAAAAAUAUUGUUAUUAUUAAAUUCUUUAAAAUCGGUUUAUAUUAGUUAUAUUUAAAUGGUUUUGCUUUAUUAAGAUUUAAUUUAAAUAUUAUUUGUGUCACUUUUAAUCAAAUUAUGUCUUUUACAUAAAAAUAAAAAAGACAUAUUACUAAAUAAUCAAUUAAAAACUUAGAUAAAUAUUUUUAUUUUUAUUUUUAAUUAAAAAAGUAUGACACUUAACUUUAUCAAAUCCAAUAAAAAAUUUUAAGUGAAAAAUAAUUAGUAUAAGGGUUAAAUACAUAUUUGAUACCCGAACUUUGUAAUUUUUGUCACAUUGGUACUUAAAGAAAUUUUUUUGUCACAUUGGUGCCUGAACUUUCAAAUUGUUAUCACAUUGAUAUUUUGACUAACGUUAUUAGUCAAUUUUGCUGAUGAAGCAUGAAUAUCCUAUAAGAUAUUGAUAUGUAUUUAUAAAGUCUAGUCAAUACUAUAUCAUAAAUGCUAUAUCAUAUCACAUCAUGCUCAUAUCAUAUUUAAAAGAAAAUUUUAGAAAAAUUUCUAAAAAUACUUAAAAAAUUCUAAAAACCCUAAAAUGUUUUUAAAAAUUAUAAAAAAGUUAAAUAAAAUUCUAAAAAUUUUAAACAAUUCUAAAAUUAUUAUAAAAAUUUUAAAAAAAGUUCAAAGAAUUCAAAAAAUAUUUUUUAAAAAAAUCUAAAGAAAUAUUAAAAAAACAUUAUUUUUAAAAUCUAAUUUUUUUAAAUUCAAAAAAUUUUAAAAAUUUGUAAAAAAUUUUAAGAACUUUAAAAAAAAUUUUAAAAUUUAAAAAAAUUGAUAAUAAUUCUAAUUUUUUUAAUUAUGAAGAAAAUUUUUAAAUAGUUAAAAUUUUUUUAAGUUUAUAAAAUUAAAAAAAUACUAAAAAAAUUUUUUGGUGAGCAAAAUUUUUUUCAAACACUUAAAAAUUUUUAAAAAUUCUAAAAAAUUUUUAAAAACUAAAAAAAUAUGUGGAAAUUAUAAAUAUUUUUUAAAAUUUAUGAAGAAUUAAAAAUAUGAAAUAUUUUUAUAAAUUAUAAAAAUUAUCAUAAUUUGGAUAAUUUUAAAACUUUUGAAAAUUUUUUAAAAAUUAAAAAAAAAUUAAAAUUUUAAAAAAAUUAUUUUUCUUAAAGUUUAAAAAAAGAGAAAAACUUAAAAAACCUAAAAUAAGAAAAAAAACCUAAAAAGUUUUAAAAUUUUUGAAAAAUUAAAUAAUUUCAAAUUUCUGAAGCAUUCUUUAAAAUUAAAAAAAUUUAGAAAAUAAAAACAAUAACUUAAAAUUAAAAAAAAAAAAACAAUCUUUUAAAUUUUAUUCUUUUUUUUUAAUUUGGAAUUUUUUUAAAAAUUUUAGUUACCUUUAAUUCUUUUUGAAUUUUUUAAAAUUUUCUAAAAUUUUCUAGAACUUUUAGAAUUCUUUAAUUUUUUAAAAUUUUAAAAAUAUUUUAGAACUUUUUAAAACGUUUCUUUUAAAAUUUUUUAUAUUUUAAAAUUUUUAUAAAAGUUUUUAAAAAUUUUAAAGUUUUUCAAAAUUUUUAAAAUUUUUUUGAACUUUCUAAAAUUUUUUGGAAUUAUUUUAGCAUGUUUAGAACUUUUUUAGAAUUAUUAAAUUUUUAAAAAAAAUUUCAGAAUUUUUUAAAAAAAUUUUAGAAUUUUUUAGAAUUUAUUAAAAUUUUUUAAUUUUCUAUUUUUUUUUUAACUUUUGAUUUUUUUUUGAAAUUUUUAUAUUUUUUAUAAUUUUUAGAAUUUUUGAAAAUUUGUUGGAAUUUUUUUUGAAUUUUUUUGAAUUUUCUUUUAAAAAUGACGUGGGAUGAUAUGGCAUAACGUGGCAAUGAUGAGGUGGUGUUAGCUAGACUUUCUGAUACGUAUCAAUAUCUUGUUAGAUGUUCAUGCUACGUUAGCAAAAUUGACAAACAGCGUUAUUCAGAGAUAUCACUAUGAUAACAAUUUAAAAGUUUAAGUAUUAAUGUGAUAGAAAAAAUUUUUAAGUACCAAUGUGACCAAAAUUACAAAGUUUAGCCGUGAAAUAUAUAUUCAACCCAUAGUAUAAGAAUUAUUUAUCAUUAUCUAGAAAUAAAAGAAUCAAACAAAAAUUUAUUAAAUUUGAUGAUCCAAUUGAAACAAAUAAAAAUUAAAUUCAAAACAAUAUAGUUCUCCUUAUAAUUUCAUGAAUUAUUAGAGGAUAAAAUUAGCUUAUAUCUAAAAAUUAUUUACCACACAUUAAAACUUCUUUAAUAUUUUAAUUUUGUAUAAAAAUUCAAACGAACUUGGUCCACAAAAUAAAACUUUUAAAAUUUUGAGAGACAAACAAAUUACUUAUAAUUUUGAAAACAUUUUUCAAAUUAAUGUCAAUAAAUAUGUACAUUAAUAAAUAAACUUGAAAUGCAAAAAAUCAUAGAUCAUGAUUAAACAAUUAUUAAAAUGAAAAUAUAAUAAAAGACAAAACUUCAUAAUUAAUAAUAUGACAAACAAAAAUUAGAAGAAGAAAAUGUAAUAGAGACAUGAAAGAUACUCGUAUAAUUUCUCACUUUUUAAGAAAGAAAUGAAAAACUAUAAGUCACAAAAAAUUUAAAACUCAAAAAUAUAAAUGUUAUAAAACCAAAGGUUUUAAUAAAUUUAAACAGAUAAUGAUUUUUAAAGAAAAUAAAUAUAAAAAAAAUCAAAUGUAAAUAAUACAAAUAAAUGUUAGACAGUCAAAAUUUUAGAGUGUAUUAAUAAUAUUAGGGUAUACAAGUUUAGAAUUUAUGUAAAAAAAUUAGCAUUUAUUGCAAAAUAUUUCAAUUAUAUAUAUAUAAUAAUUAGUUAAUUAAAAGGAAAUCCAGGUUAGAUAAAAUUAAGUGUCUAUUUAAAUGAAUGAAGAAAUUGAUUUUAGUGAGAUUGAAAACAAUAGUGACAAUGAGAUUAGUAAUUUAUGAGAUUUGAUAUUAUGAUAAUGAUAUUAAAAUCAAUUGUGAAGUAUAUGUAUGAAUGCAAAAGCAACGAUAACAUUGAGAUGAAUAUAAUGAGAAGAAAAAAUAAUUAUUAAGUACAUUAGGUUAAGGCUUAUAUACAAUGAAAUUUAUAGUAUAUAUUUGAUAGUUGUGAAAUUAAUAAAUUAUUAAAAGUUAUUAAAACUAUUUUAUAUCAUAUAAUAUUUUUGUUGAUAAAUUAAAAAUUACUAAAAUACUUUUAUAUCAAAUAAUACUUUUAUUAUUUAAUAUUUAAAAAUAAUUUUUACAUAUACUUUGGUUAUAUGAUCAUUACCCGGUUACAAGAUACCAAAAAAAACUCAUAUAAUCGGAUCCUUGAUUUUAACUAUCUCUUACCAUACCUAAUAUGGAGACAAAGGGUAAGAUUUUGAGUAUAAAGUGAGUUGGUAAGAUUUUGAGUUUUUUCUAUCUUUUUUAUCAUUUUUUUUUUCAUUCUUAUGAUUAAGAACAUGUGAUUUUUAGCUUUCAUUAAUUCUUAAAAAAAUUUGGUACAACAAUUUUUAUCGUAUCCUUUAUCUCUACAUAUAGGUUUAAUUAUUCAUGUAUUUAUAUAAUAUAAAAUAUUAAUAAUUCAUAUAUUUAUAUUAUAUUUUAUAUGAAAAUUAUAUAUUAUAAUUUAUAUCGAUCUAAAAUAUUAAAUAUAUAUUUUUGAUUUAUCAAAUUUAUAUAUAAUUUUUGUUAAAAUUUUAAAUUAUAUUAAUUUUAUGUUUUUAUUUCAUUUUUAUAUUUUAUAAUCAUGUUAUAUUUUAGAUUAAAAAGUCUAUCCAUAGUUCAUUGAGUGCAAAAUAUCUUGAAUUCCAACUAAAUUGGACUUCUUUUUCUUAUUAAUUACCACCAAAGACAAAAGUUAAAAAGGAUGAGUAACGCUUUCUGAUUACCUUUUUUUUUUUUUUUUUUCCCAUACUUUUCAAAUCAUUUAGCUUUUAGGUAUGGUCGGUCCACGAGAAUUGGACGUUGGAGAUGUGCAAGAUUUUUUUAAUUAAUUAUUUUUUUCUAUUCUUUUAUUUGUUGCUAGUUUAUAUGUAAAUGCUGGAAUCUGGUUUCAAGUGUUAAAGAGAUAAUAAGCAAUUAAGGUAGGAAGAAAAUUUCAAAUGAGUAGUUAAGGCCUAAGGGCCAUUUGCAUAAUGCCACACUGGUGAAAGAGAUUAUAAAAAUAUUUUGGGUAAAACAAAUUAAAAGUUAAACAUACUCAGAUAAAAUAUGUAUUCAUGGAUGCAUAUGAGAGCAGGGCUUAGAAAAAAAUUUUGAAACCAAAUAUCAAUUAGAAACAGUACAAUAUGGAUUGAUUUUUCUUUUAUUCGAUUCGGUUUUGGUUCAAAUAUUAAAUAUUUUAAUUAAAUUUGGAUUAGUUUUCAAAUCAUGAAGUAAAAAAAUAAAAAAUUCAAAUCAGCAAAAUUAUAUUUUUUAUUAAUUUUUAUAUAAAAUUUAAAAUUUGUAUAAUACAAAUAAUUAUUUUAUAUUUAAAUUUAUUUAAAUAUAUUAAAAUAAUAUUAAAAAUGACUUUUAAGAACCUAUAAAUCAAACUGAAUUAAAUGGAUAGAAUUUGAUUUUAAUUGAUUUAAUUUAAAAAAAAAUUGAUUCGAAUUUAGAUUAAUUUUUAAAAAUUUAAAAUAUUAUAUAUUAAUCGAUAUAAUUGAAUUGAAUUGGAUCCAAUAUAAUAUCUUCCUUGCAUGACAUUCAUAGUUGACACUCAUUAUCUCAUAGAAAUUACAUAUAAGUUUAAAUAUGUAUAUAUAUAUACAUACAUGUUUUAAUUAUUAAUUUUAAUAUAUCAAAGGGAUGUGAUUAAAUUAUCUUUUUCCUAAUUUUUACUUAUAUCUUUCAUGUCUUGGAUCUAUUAAAAUUAAUGGUUAAAAAAUAUGUAAAAUUUUUUUAGUUUUAUAUUGUGUAAGUUGAUACUUCUCUCUAUAGAUAAAGAGGCUGAAAUCAAAAUUUAUUUUCCUAUAAAGCAUCCCACACAUGCAUGAGAUAGUUGCAAUUUGCAAAUUAAAACACUUUCAUAAGCAAUAAUUAUAAUGGAUUUCGUAAUCAGCUGAUUAAUUGAAAAGGAACUUGAUCCAUUACAAUGCUUUAUCGUCAGCAGUUUCAGAAUUUUUCAUCUUUGUCACUUCUUUAGAAGCACACAUAGUAAUCACUUUAGUGAUUUUCCACAGUGGGGUCUGGUUGUAUAAUAGGAAAUUUUACAUGUAGUAGGUAACGGCCAGCUGCUUUUGUUUCUUUACUAAUUGCUUUGAAAAUUUAAGAUUUAAGGAAGCCUAUCAUGAAAUUUUCUCAUUUCCCGGUUUUUUGUUUAUAUAAUUUCAAAUUUAAUCUUGGCUUUAGGACCAAUUGGCCGAUGUUGCUAAAAAUAUUAGAAAGAGAGCUGUAUGAUUGAGCUAUUUAAGCCAAAGUAAGCAAAAUACAAGAUUGUUUGUCGAUGGGAUCUGGUUGAAUUGAUAAAGAUAAGAUAUUUUUCUUACAAAGUUUAGUUUCGAUUUCGCUACCAACAAAGUUUGUGGAUAAUUUAUAAGUCCAAUGAAAAUUUUUGUUGAGAAUUAAGACGUGAUCUGAUGCUGAAAUGAUUAGUCAUGAAUUACCUAAACUUUUAUGUAAAAAAAAAAAAAAAACAUGUUUGCUUUAGUCUUCCUUUAUCAAUAUGACUGUGCUUUAAACUGAAGCAAAACACUCUAAUGUGAUUGUUUCAUUCAGAAAUUCAUUACUGUUGUUUGCAACAGAUUAUUGACAUGCUUUUUCAUGUCGAUAUAACUCUUUUUUCUAAAAAUAAGACGGUAGUCAAAGUCACCGUUGGGUUGAACCAGCUCCAUUUUGUUAUUUUUUAACUUAGUUCAGUGUUCCUCCUUUUUAUGUAUAUACUAUUCAAAUCAAAACUUCAACACUUAUAUGUGUUGGUAUAAGACCCAAUUCUUGUUCUUUCAAUUUAAAGGUAAAGAGAGGAGGUACACCCGUAAUCAUAGUAGUAAGUUAUAUUCCAUGUAUAUAUACUCAUUUAUACGUGUGUGCUAUAGCGUACAAAUAUACGUAGGAACGCAUUGAAAGGAGCCACAAACAUGUGACAAAACUUCUAUUUACAGCCGAUCGACAAGUCUGAAAAGAAACCUGAGAAGCUGGGGUCAGACUCACCACUCGGCACUCACCAAUGCCUUCCACAGCUAGGAUGGGGUUGAUCAGAAAACCACUGACCCUACCCCUCGAAGACAAGUAGUAGUAGCAGUAGCAGUUAAUUUGGGUCCGUCAACCUGAUUUUGCGACACCAUGAUUGUACCUUUUUCCUUCCCUUUUUAAGCUCAAUUACCAAAAGAGUUUGCAGGCCAUAUCAGAUACCUCUCACUUUUGAAUCUAAUCUGCUCAUAUAUUGGUCUUAAUAAAGCUAUGUCCGAUCUUUUUUUUCGCGUAAGUAAAAAGAAAAGGCAGCUCAUACGAAAACUGGAUUUAUUAGUAACUUUUUAGUAAGUGAAUUUUGUGCAGGAAUUACUUUUGAGUGAUUGAUUCUUUAUGUUUGUCUGUGGAAUAGGACAUCUCUUCUUUGUUGACAAGAUUCGAUUAUAGUCUUUAUUAUUAGCUUGUGUUCUUGGAACCUUGCAUUGCUAGCUAGCUGUGGGUGUUUUUUUUUUUUUUUUUUUUUUUUAUAAUUUGUCCUUUAUAUGAACAGAAUAUAUAAAGAAGGAAGAUAUUGAUUUGGCUGGUAGUUGUUGAGGGACACUUACUUGGACAUUUGUAUUAUGUCCAUCGUCCAGGCAAUAAACAACGGCAGAAAGUAGUGUUUUUUUUUUCAAGUGUUAAUAUUAUAAAUAUUCAUAAAUAAUAAUAAUAAUAAAAUAUUUAAUAUAUUAUUUUAAUUUAAAAAACUUUUAAUAUAUUACUUGAAUUAUAAAUUUAUUAAUAAAUUUGAUAUUUAUUUUUAAUAUAAUUAUUUCAAAUGAUGAUAUGUGAUUAAUAAAUUUCAAGUAUCAUAUUAAUUAAUAAAUUAAUAAUUUAAAUAUUAUAGUAAAAAAUUUUAAAAUUUAAAUAUUUUAUUAUAAUUUAAAAAUUAUUAAUGAUAUUAACAUUUCUCGAAAUACAAAAAGUGGAUAGCUACCAAGCUAAGGUUGCUUCAAGUAGUAAAAAAAGUGUAUAUUUUUUCAUCAUUAUUUAAGUUUGAAUUUUUUUUUAAAUACAAAAAAUAAAUUUUCAUAAAUUCACUAAAAUUGAUGUAAAUAAUUUUAUUUGAACUAAUUCAAAAAUAUAUAUUGAGUAAUACGCAAAAAUUUGUCGCUGAUUAAAAAAUUAUGAUGGUAGAUAUGAAAUUUGUUUAAAAUUCAAAAUAUUGUUACGAGAGACUUUUGCAUUACUUUAUGUUAUCUCUAGAUUAAAAUAAUAAAAGAGCUAUUAAAUUAUAUAUAGUUUAAAUAAACUUAAAAAUUUUAUUGUAUCAAGAUAGAUCCUUAUUUUUUUAUUUAUAUUCAAAUAAAUUUUAAUUUUAAAUAAAUUUUUAUUUAUAUUAAGAGCUUAUAUAAGUAUAAAUUAAAAAUUAAUAACUUUUUUAACAUAAAUUAAAAGUAAAAAAAAAUUUAUUUAAAUAUAAAUUAAAAAUUAAAAAUUUAUUUAGAUGUAAUAAAGAUAUAAAUAUUUAUUUAAAUAAAAUAAUAAAGUUUAGAAAAUCUUUUAUUAUUAUUUUAGUCUCGUCUCUGUAUAAAAGAAAAGCCAUCUAUGGGAAAAGAGUCAAAAGAGGGAUUAUAAAACAAAGAAAGAAAAGUAUGGUUUGGUUGGCGGUCACCUUCUAUCGUAGGAGUCAGUUAAGCCUAAGUAGAAAGUAGUGGCUUAAAUCACGCAUAUAAAUGCUGCCUAAAACGAGUUAGGGGAAUUGAUUAGUGGAGCUUUUUUGUUUAAUUUUGAAGUUUUAAGUUCGAAUUUUAUUAGUUUUUGGUCCGUGCAAGGGCUUUUAAUUUUUGUAAAUUUAUUUUAAUUAAUUAAGUUUUCAAAAAUAUAAUCUUUCUUUUAAAUUUUAAAUUUAUAUAUUGUAAUUAUUUUAAUUCGAAAUUAAAAUAUAAAAAAUUCUUUACAUAUAAUUGUUCAUAAAUUUUGAGAGCAUAUUUUAUUUUUAUUUUUUCUUACAACUUAUAGAUUGUGUUUAAAAACUUAAAUUUUAAAAAAAUAUAUUUGGAUUUUAAAAUUAGUCUAAAAUGUAUGAUAAAUUACAUGUAAAUAUAAACAUAAUUUUAUAAUUAUUUUUCAAUUUUAAAGAUUCGUUAGAUGUCUAUAUAAUAGUGAGUUUGAAAUAUUUAUAUGUAUUUAUGAAUUUAAAAUUUAUCUUUUUAUAUCUUUCAAAUUAAAUCAAUUAUGAUAUUGAUUUUAUUAAUUUGUGCACGCUAAGUACAUUUUAUUCUUAUAAUUUAUAUAGUAAAUAAAAUACAAAUUAACUUUAUUAAAUUUACUUUUUUAUGUGUAACAUUAAUGUUUUUAAUUGGGUAAUUAUUUAUUCUAAAAUAAGUUAUUUUACUUUUUAUGAAUUUAUUAAAUAAAAGAUAUUAAAAAAUUUAUAAUCAAAGAAAUAUAUGUUCAAAUUAAUUUAAAAUUUUUAUUUUUAUAUAUUAAAAACCUAAUAAUUUGAUUUGAAUUAACAUAUUUAUAUAUGUUAAAUAACCAUUAAAUAAUCAAUUAAAAAAUUGUAUUAGAAAACUCAUACUUGUUUAAUGACUACUUUUUUCCUACUUCUUUAUGUACAUGCAUUUUAAUAGAUAUUUUUAAAUUAUAUUUUUUUAAUAUUUAAGAUUAUUGGAUUUAGAACCUUAAUCAUUCAAAGUAAGAGUUCAGCAUUAUACUAAUAAUUUACAGAGUUCAACAUUAUACCAAUAAUUUAUACUGUUGUUGGUUAUUUUUAGAUUAUAUUUGAUGCUAAAUUAUAAAUAUAAAAAAAAUGUAUAAUAUAAAAAUCAAAUCAAUAUUAGAUGGUACUAUUUUAAUGGUGGGUGAAAUUUAUCUAAAUAAAGUAAUUAAAUUAAUAAAUUAUUUUUAUAAUAAAUUUAUUAAUUGUUUAAAUGCUUAUAUUGUUUCCAAAUAUUAGAAGCUUUUGUUUGAAUAUCAAAUAAUUGACGGGUAAUAAGUUUUUAAAAUAUGUUUUUUUUUAUGGAUUAAUUAAUUGAAAGUAAUUUAAAUUCUUUUCUCAUAUGGUAGAAACUCCUCUACUUAAUGUAGUAUUGUAAUAUUAGAAAGAUAAUAUAUAAUAUUAAUUUUUCAAUUUUUAAUAAUAAUUUAAAUUUAAAUUUAUUUUAUUAUUUUAUUUAAUAUAUAAAGGACAAAGUCUUUGGCCAAAAAUCAUCCAAUGUUAGAUUUAUAUUAUUGACAUGUAGACGGUUUUAAAAAAAUAUUAUGUUUUCUUUAAUAAAUAUAUUUUAUUUUAUAUUUUUUAAUUUAAUAAAUAAUUUAAAAAAAUUAAAUUGAUUAUAUUUAUUUUUUUAUUAUUUAUCUUAAAUCACUCUCAUUAAAUUUAUAUGAAAGGUAUUAAAACUUUGAUUAUCAUUAUUAAUAAAUAAAAUAAUUUUAUGUCUCUUUUUUCAAUUAUAAAUAUUUAACUUUUGAAUUAUAUUUAUUAAAAAUAUACUUUCCAAUUUUUUUAAAAAAUAUGAUAUAUUGCCUUGUCCUUUUAAGCUAUACAUAUAUUUAAUAUAUUGAAUUUAAAAUGUUCAAAAGAUGAUCAAAUCAUUAAAAUUAAUUUUAAUAUAUCAAUUAGAAUUAAUUUUAUUAUUAUUAUUAUUACAUUAAUUUCAAAAUCUUUUUUUUAUUUAUCCCAAGCGUAUUGAAUAUACAUUAUAUUUUGCUAUUUUAGUUAUCAAUCAUUAAUUACUCUCAAUUUAAGAUACUUUUACUCUUGAUUUAAUUUUUAAUUUAUUUAGUCAAUUAAUCAUUUAAAAAUAAAUGUUAAUAAGAAUCAUUGAAUGUGUUUUAUAAUAAUGAAAAUAAGAUAUUUUAAAUUAAAUUUAUUUUACCAUUAAAUUUUAAAUUUUAAAUAUAUAAUUAAUUUUAAACACAUGUCAAUUUUUUAGAUUGUCCACUUAUAAAAAAUGUACCACAUCAUAUUAUUUAUUUUUUGUUAAAGGCUUUGACUUUCAUAUAUUUAUAUAAGAUAAAUUUAAUUAUUUAAUUAUAUUUUAAUUUAUUAAUUGAUUAUUUAGUAAUUAUAAUUUGAUCAUGAUAUAAUAAUUAAUUAUUUAAUUGAUAAUAUAGAUGUAAUAUUUAUUUAUAAUUGCAACUUAAAAAAAAAAGAUUAAUAUCAUAAAUGACUUUUUAAAUUAUAGUGAAAUAUUUAAUAUUAUAUUUGAAAUUUAAAAAUCUCUGAUGUGAUUAUUAAAUUAUAAAUAUAUUUCUAAUAUGAUUCUUAAAUUAUAAAUAUAUUAACUAAUGUAAUACUUAUUUCAAAUAUAACUAACUUUAAAUGAUGAUAUGUAUGGAUAAACAACUCUAAAAAUAUCAUAUUAGUUAAUAAAUUUAUGAUUUAAGUUUAACAUUAUAGAUUUUUAAAUUUAAGGUAAAACAUUACAUAUUUUAUUAUAAUUUAUGAACUAUUUAUGAUAUUAACUUAAAAAUAAAAACCCUAUUGAUAUAGCUCUUUUUAUUUUUUAAAUAAAUUAUUAUUUUAUGAUUUUUACUUUAAUAAAUUUUAACACACAUGAUUUUAACAAUAGUUAGGCUCAUGGCCUGCUAACACUUUUUAUACUCUGUAACGGAUGAGAUAAUAUUCUUAUGGAAAAACUUCAGUGAAAAUUUUUAAAUGAAAUUUAUGAAAAUUUUUUAUUAAAAUGAUUAAAUUAAAAUUAAAAUUAAAAAUUAAAAUUGUUAAAUUAAAAGAUCCCAUUAAUAUAUUAAGUAUGUAAAAUUUAAAAAGAAAUUGAUAAAUUUUGAAAUAUUUUUUAAAUAAAAUUUUUAAUUAAAAAAUAUUGAUAAAAUUUUUAUCUUUAAAUAAAUAUAAAUUAAAUUUAGAUUAUAUACAUCAUUUUUAAUAAUUUUUUACAUAUUAUUAAUUUUUACAUUAAACUUUAUCUAUUGAUUUAUUUUUUUAUUAAAUUAUUUUUAUUUCACAAAUUUUAUUUAAAUAAUUUCACAUAAAAUUUAUUUAUAUUUUUAUCGUGAUAAAAAUUAAUUAACUCAAUUAAUCAUAUUAAAAAAAAAUCACAUUAAUAGGCACGUGAGCAAAAAAAUGUCAACUGUAAAUGAGAUUGGCGACAGUAAACGAUGACACAAUACACACGACAUCUCUUGGUUAACAUAAAAAUCUAUUGUCAAAGAACAUAGAACGCACAUCACAUCUUUUGGUUAACACAAAAAUCUAUUUGUGAACAAAAAAAAAAAAAAUAGUGUAGGUACAUAAAAAAUCAGAGUUUAUUUAAAAAUGAAAAAGAAUAAUAAUAUUUUAAAAAAUUGGAGGUGAAAGGGAGGGGCCACUUUCAUAUCACACCAUGCCAUCGGUUAGCAGAAGAUAAAGAAUGAAAGGAAAACGACACCACAAGCUGCCAAAUCCUCAGACAGACGCCUUUCUUUCCAACCCCAAUCCUCACCCUCUUUUCUAUUAUAAUCCUAUAACCAAGCGAAACGCUUGUGUUCUCAAAGGACCCAUCUCUUUUUCCCCUUUCCAUUGAAAAUUUUAUUAGAAUUGGAAUGACAACUACGAAUAUUUAAAUAAGAAAUUUUAAAAUAAAAUAUUAUUUUAAUUGAUUUAUAUAAUUAUUUAAAAAAAUCUAAUAAAUUUAAAAUUAUUAUAUAAAAAAUACAAGCAUAUAGUGUAGCAGUAAUAUAAAUUACUGAAUGAUUGCUUUGUUCGUGAGCAUAGACCAAGAGAAAUCUCUCAAGCCAUACUCUCUCUCCCUUUGCAUGUGGAUAUUCUCAUUUUGUUUGGAGAGAAAGAUAGGGAACUCUUGAAUCCCUGAUUGAGCACUAAAGACAGAGAGGAGAGUGAAGAGACGCCUCAUCUCCAUUUCUUCAUGACUUUCAGUCUUCUCUAUCACUUUUCUUUUUACAUGGUCUGCCUGCUCAAAGUUUGUCCAUGGCCUGCUGCAUACAGUUUAUAAAUUUUCAAAUGUUAGCUCUCAACAAGGCACAACGCACCACUACCUUUUGAGUAUCUCUUGAAUCUCUUACCCUUUUUCUUCUCUAAUAUAUAAAAAAGGAAUCAUUGUCACUAUAACAGCAGUUUCAAAGUCGUCUCUUUGGCUUUUUACAUCGAACUCCCAAGCAAUCUUUUUUCCGUCUCUUUCCUUGCAAAAAAAACACCUUUAAAAACCUCAUCAUCAACGUAAAAACCCGGAUAAAAAAAAAUCAUGGUUUGCUUUUCCGUCAUUUCCACGUUAACACUAGUUUUAUUUUCUUUCACUAUCUUCCAUCACUCUCUAGCCAGUUUUCUGUCUCAACCAAUUUCCGUUCACGAUCUGCCGUUAAAACCCGGUGACUACUCAUCCCCAAAUACGGUCCCCGCAUUUCCAGUUCAAACCCAAGCUCAAGUUUGCCGGCUAGACCUGUCAGCCGAGCUAUUCGGCGGCGUCAGCGACGCCUGUGGCCACAACCUGGACAGAAGCCGAUGCUGUCCCGUGUUGGCAGCUUGGCUCUUUGCAGCUCACGCCAGGUAUGCUUUGGAGGUCUCGGCUCCAGCUCCAGCCGAAUCGGAGCAGCCGGAGCAGCCAGAGCAGCCCAUGAGGCCGGAUGAUUCGCAGAAGUGUGUGAAUUCGUUGCAAAACGCUUUGUUAAGCAAGCGCGUGAGGAUUCCUCAACCAAACGCGAGUUGCGAUGCGAUUCUAUGUUUUUGUGGGAUAAGGCUGCAUCAGAUUAGUUCCUUGAGCUGCCCCGCUGCGUUUAAUGUUUCCGGUUUUCGAAACGCGACACCGACUGCUGCCGUGAAGAAUUUGGAGAGGAAUUGCGGGAACUCUUCUUAUGCUGGGUGUACCAAGUGUCUCGGUGCUCUUCAAAAGGCAAGUAAUUAAUGAAAGUGGUUUCCUUUUUUGGUUUACACCCAUUAAUUCUAGCUCUGAGUCUUUUGAUAAUUUUUCUAGGAAUGUUGUCUUAAAACUGGUUUUGGUUCAUGAGAACAUAUAAUUGCUCUUACACUUACCACUUUCAGAUUUCUGUUGUUAAUAAAUGAACAAAUGCAUUUAAUAAGUAAUUGAUAAUUGGUCCCCAAAAGGGAUUGCAUUACAACAAUUUUCUACUUUCCAAUGACUUUGUACAAUCCACAUGAGGAUUGGUUUUGGUUGUGGUUUGUUAAUUUUGAUUGAAAUCAAAUACUGGAAUGUGAAUUGGUGUUGUUGAUUUUUAAAGUGGACCUUUUUUCUAGGCUGAGGAGGGUCUUCUUUUUGCCAUUUUAUCAAAGGAACCAAAGUCAUUAUGGUAGACCCAAGAAAAUGACAUUGUCAUGCCUGAUGCAUUUCAAACAAUUAGACCCUUCGCCAACAUAUCUUUCCUCAUUACCUUUCCCUGUUCCUGCACCAACUCUUGCUGCUACCUAAUUGCUUUUCAGCCAAAUCUCUAAAGCACCCUUGUUUGUGAUUGGUAAUUACAGCUCAAAGGUGGAUAUAACAAGAACGGAACAGAAGACAGGAGCACCAGCGAGAGAGCUAGCAAGAUGUUCAACCGAGACUGUCAGCUCAUGGGGCUUACAUGGCUCCUUGCACGCAACAAAACGGCGUACAUACCCACCGUUUCAGCUGUACUACGGGCCAUAAUGUACAGUGCCCACCCUCACGAGUCCAAGUGCAGCCCAGAUCAAGAGAACAUGCCCUUAGCUGUUGAUUCUCUGCAGUUCGAGAAUGCCCAGUCGCCUGCACCGCCACCACUUUCGCGGGCAUCUUUUACGUUCCCGGUUUUGCCCCUUAUCGUUUUGGUUUCACUGUUUGGGUAGCUUAGGAGUGGUGAGUGGCACUGUGCUUGUCCCAAUUGCCUCUUACUAAUUUUUUUGUAGUUCUCGAGAUUGUCUGGGAUUCACGUGAAGCUAUUUAGAGGUAGCAGACAAUUGGAAACGGGCUAAUGAGGGGUUGUUUUUGUCUUUUUCCCACUGUAAAUUUCUGUUGGUUUUCGUAGUUGUUUGACACGAAGCAGCGGACGAGGACGAGGACGAGGAGCAGCUCUAUAUAAUAUAGUUACUCAUUUACCUUUGCCAGUUGUUAGUACCAUUUCACAAGUAAAGGUGCGAAAAAAUGGAUUUGAAAUGUCGAUAUUCCAUUUAAUUUGAAUGGAUUUUUUAAAAUUCAAUUUAGAUUAAAUUUAAAUAUUAAAUAAGUAUAUAUAUAUUAAGUUUAAAUUGUGUUUAAAAUAAAAAAUAAAAAUUAAAAAAUAAUGAAAUGAUAUAUUUUUAGUUUUUAUAUAUAUUUAAAAUUUAUAAAAUAAAAUAAUUAUUUUAUAUUUAAAUAUAUUAAAUUUUAUAUUAAAAUAAUAUAUAAAAGAAAGAGGAAACUGAUUAACAAGAAAAUUCAGUUUGAAUCUAAUCCAUUUUAAGGAAAGAUUGAUAUGAAUUUGGAUCAAAUUUUAAAAUUUUAUUAUAUUAUAUAAUUUUUGAAAAAAUUAAAUUAGAUCUUAUUUGAAUUAUUAUUAUCUUUAUACACAAUUAUUCUUUCAUUUUGCUUGGGUUUUAAAAUGGGUAAUUGGUGAACAGAUUCUAUAUUUGAUUAUUUAUUAAACUUAACAAAUAAUUAUAUAUAAUAUUUUAAAUUCAUUAAUUAAACACAUAAAUCACUAAAUAGUAAAAUUCAUUCGUAUUUAAUUUGAAGAUGUAAAUGAAUAGUAUUCAACGAAAAGUUUACAAACAAUUUUAGUUUUUAUUUAUUUAUGUUUAUUUAUUAAAUUUAAUAAAUAAUAAACCAAACAAUAUUUUAAAAUUUAUUAAAUAAAUAAAUAAAUCAUGAAUAUAAAAAAAUCAUUUAUAUUAUAUUCAUUUACACCCUUAAUUUUGUUUUCACCACUUUAUUUAUGCUAAUAAUAGUAUAUACAAAUUGGUACGGCAAAAUCAUACAGUGUUAGUAAGUUAAUGUCAAGAUUAAUUGGAGUUCGCACUUACCAAAAACAGAUAGGGCCUUUUGCGCCAGCCUGAUGUGAGGGAAACCGAUAAUAAUUUCAAAGGGCAGACGCCUAUCGGGACUGUUAAAACCAGGUUGUUUCAAAUCGAGAUUUGUUUAACCAAACACUUAGUAAUUGAAGGAAUCGAUUUCAAGACAACAUUGCUAGAAGGGAAUCCCUAGGACUGAGUAUGUCGGUCGCUUAGUAAAUAUUAAUCAAUAUUCAAAACUAACAAACUCUACAAUGUGAAUACAGACGAAAAGAGUUGGAUUGUUUUUUGUAAAUUGAAUCUUAAAAUAUAUGCGAGGUAACAUGUUCAAGAGGGUGAUUUCGGUCUAAUGUUGUCGCUUUGCCAUGCAGCAUCACUUUCCAAAGGAUGCUACUCCCUUUCACCGAGCCACGGACACCAAGGAGGGAUUUUUUUCAUAGUUUCUUUUCAAUUUAAAGGCAUGACAAAGGAUUCCUUGCCCCAAGUGCCCCCCAAACCAAGUACUCCACAACUGGGACCCAAAAGUCCAGUACACUCCCACCUAAAAUACCAACAACAAAUACGGGCUUCAUGAGCCCACUUGGCAUAAGUUUUGAUAUUUAUAUAGACUAAUAAAAGACAGUGAAACAUUCACUAAUCUUAAGCAUGAAGUUGAUAAAUACAAGGGAAUUUACGAAGCAAUCUGAAUUUGGCACUAUCAGAACAAGAAAUUUAAGCAUUGCUGCAUAGAGUUCUGAACUAUUGAAAAAUUUCACCAUGUCACCAAGUUUGAAACAGAUAAAUCAUUAUUUUUGUCCAUUCUAAAAAUCACCAUUCUAUAAAUGAGAAACAUGUCUCUCAUUCCUAAAACCAGCUGAGAACCAAAGUUUACCAUCCCUUGCCUAUGAGCCAUAACCAGUCAAGCGUGACGCCUGCGAAGAUACCUCCCAGGAGAAACAAAACAAGCAAAUUUCCUAAUGCAUUCUGCUCAGGUCCCUGAAAAAACAAUAAUUCAUUCAGUUUUUAAGUAAAGAACUGUCUACGGGUUUCAGAAAUUGCUGUGUUUCAAGUAUAAAUGAAUAACGUAGCACCAAACCUUAUAGCCCUUGGGUGCAGAAGUUAGGAUGCAGACAGUGAGGUAUCCAUUAGUUAGGCCCAAAAGGCUUGUUAGCAUGAUCAUCCAGCCUUGAUCACCAUAUUUAGCUGUGAAAUAAAAUGCUGGGAUGAGCAAAAAACGAGAAAGUAUUGCUACCAUGAGACCUUUCCGUGAUUCCAGCUUCAAGGAUUUUACUAGAGGAAUGUAUCUCCCAAUAAGAUCCCAGACAUUAUACAUUGCUAUCAAAACAAGCGCAUACCUGGAACGUGAAAAAUCUGGUGUCAAUACAUAUGCAUGGUUAGAAGGAAUAGCACAGUCGCAACCAAAAGCUUACCAGGUACCUAAACUAUGUUUUCCAGUAUCUUCUGACAAGAAUCCCGGGAAAAUGGACAAUGUCAGCACAUAUAUCAGGAACAUGUCGACCGCAUAAUCAAUGUUCUGAAGUAGUAACUUUUUGUUGCUCAGCCGUACCUGGUGUUUCGGAUCUAUCUCAGCCUGCAGGUGGACAUUGAUUCUUAUAAAAUAAUGAAUUGCGUAUUACUAGUAGCAUUUUAUGUAUGACACUAGGCAGAAGGACAAACAUUUUGGGGCAAUGUUUGGAUGCCACCAGCAGCCAGAUCAGCUGCAACAGUUUUAGAUCCUUCGGAGGCUGCCUUUGAGCGAUAGUACUUCACAAUGGGUAGUUUUGGAAAUACAUAUGCAUAGAGAAGAACACAGAGAAGCUCAAAAGCUGCAGAGAUGGCAAAGAAUAGAACUGCACAGGGAUGGGGGUGGGGUGCAGAAAAGAUAAUUAGUCUCUAGUAAGCCAAAUUGAGACAAAUCCCCCAAGAAAAAUAAACCAAAAAAAAAAAAAGGAAAGAGAAGGGAUAAAGGUAACAGUGCAUUUUUUCAGUCAAUUUCUUUAACAAGAAAUGCAAGAGAUUGAAACAGCAUAAAGCUUUUCUGGCUGAAAACAAGUUUGAGAAACUGCAUCAUUUGGACCAACCAAAUAAAUACCAAUAAAAACACCUAUAAUUCAUGAAGUUCUCUCUUAAAACUCCAUAGGAAAUAGUAGGAAGUAUUCUAUUACAUAAAUUACUCAUUUUGUUCCAACAUCAAGGGUUAAAAGAGAUCAGUAAAAUUAUGCAACUACAUAUAUGGCAGCACAAGUAAAGGAAACUACUGACUUGCAAAUCGAUUGAUUGUCAAGAUUAUUUCAACUAGCAGAUCUUUAGCGUAUAAUUAACGAAAGUACGAAUGGCACUUCAACACCAAAGAGGGAUUUUUUUCUGUCCCCUUUUGUGACAUGUCAUAAAACAUAAGGCAAUUGAGAACAUACUGGCCCCUUUGCGAAGACCGUCCUUCGAAUUCUCAAAUGCCGCUUUUGUGAUUAACCUCAAAGCAGAGGUAAUAGCCCCUGAUGCAGCCAAACCAGCAACAAACGACUAAGGAAUCCAAACAUCCAAGGAAAAGAAAUCGUAAAGGUUAGUCAUAUCAGAUAAUGUGGAGAAAAGAGAGUUCAUUAGCAUGUAAAAAUGUCAAUCACUCAUACUGACUUGAAUAAAUUCAGGCUUCAUGUAGGAGAGAUCUCCAAUCAUUCCACCUUGCACAUGAGCAUCUGCAACCCCAAACGCACCACUAAUGACGCAAAUUCCUAUGAAAGUUCCAAUUCCUCCUUUUCCAGAAGUAGCUAAAUCCAACUAUAUAUAAAAUGUAGAGGAGAGAAAUUACAAUCCUCUCAAAAGAAACAAGAACAUUUGAAACUUUAGUAGCAUGAGAGUGUGCUUCAGCUGCCAUUCUCAAUAUAAACCUAUCAUGUACCAUGAUACUUGUGUAAUUCACCUUUUGUUAUGCAAAAUUAAGUUUAGGAGCAUUGAAGGAUCAGAAGAAUUAAGUCUACGAAAGAAACUUACAACUAAAACCGCAAGGGAACUUAAGAAAAACAGGGUAUAUCCAAAUAGAUUCCUUCUUCUAGUGUUAAUUUUUGCCUCGUUGUAAGCCAGUAUUGCAAGUGUUCCAAGUGCAAAUGGCUGAUAAACAAGAGUAAGGAUCCUUGAGGGGUGAUAAUGCUGCAAAAGGGAAAAGAAAUUAGGUUAAAUGACAAGAAUAAUUAUAAUUAUCACCACUUCACCACACAUACUUUUGGCUAAAAUAAAGCAAAGAAAACUCUGGAGACUGGAAGUGUUUGCAAGAUAAAGUAACAUGAGUUGCAAAAUUUAGAAUUUGACGGCUAGAUGGAAGAAAUAUAAUGCAUUAUGACAUGUGAAGAUUACAUUUGGGAAAAAAAAAUAAUUAUAGAUCAGCAGCCAAUAAUCAGGAUAUAAUCAGACAGGUCGCAAUCAAUUGAAAAACUUUGAAAUGAGAGAAAAUCCCUUGUUUAUGAAUUUUGCAUGCAGAUUGACAAAGUGCUUGAUGACGGUACAAUACAGUUCCCAGGCUUUCUGUUAUUAAGGUCUCCUAAAUAAUCUAACCGCUGAUUUAUGAAUUAAAUGGAAGUCAGAAGACAUUGGUCAUUGACGAAGUUUUCAAAUGACAUGAUAUAAAAGCUUGUUUAAAUGUCAAUAAUUUAUUCAUGGCCAGAAUUUAGAAGUGUAAAACUGACUGCUUGGCUACAGACUGCAGAGUGGCAAUAAAACUCUGUUCAAGUUCUAAACUUUUCAAGUUUGUUUAUCACAGAUUGGUUAAAACAAAACCUGGGGAAAUUUCUUCCAAGUGUGCAUUUAUAUAAUCACGGCAGGCCAUAAAAAAUACCACAACCAUGAGAAAUAAUUUGAAAAGCCAGAACAAAAAUGUAAAAUUAGGGUAUCAGAAUUACCGGAAACAAAUAACCAUAGUAAUCUUCUAUUGUCAGCAUACUAUUCCAUGAAAAGAGACAGCCAUUUCCAAGAAGCCAACAUACAACCAACGCAGCAUACUUCCCCUAUAUGACAGAAAACACAUAUCAGAUUCAAUGGAGUUUUUAAUCUUACAAAUUUUCUUAGUUAAGGGGAAUGAAAAAGUUGAAUGAUAAACCUCAAGCCUUUGAGAAGCCUCAUCAGGGAAAACCAUAAUUGCUCUCUGUGAAAUGCCUCGUACAGCUUCUAGGACUUAAAGCUGCUUAAUAUCCAAUGAUAACGGCAUGAACUAAACCUGUUUACAAAAUUAUAAUACACACAUAUAAGUCAAACAUUUAUAAUAUUUUCGUGUGGUAUUAAGGAACCUAUUGUAGUUAUAUUUGCGUAGGAGGACAACUCAAUUUCACUACUAUUUGUUAAGAAUUUCCAGGGUGUGAAGUGUGAACGAUUUAGUGUUCACACUUUCUACAAAUCAUUCUUAUUUACUCGAAAAAUUUUAAAUAUAAGCAAUUCUACAACCAUAGUGUGAAUCCAACUCUACAAUCUCUUAGGCUAGAAGUCAAAAUCAAAUACCUCAUCACUCUAACAGUCGAAUCAAUUAUCGUCGAGUAUGAACUAUUACACCAAACUUAAAUCAAUUAUUCUCGAGUAUGAGUGCAGCGUAGCAAGUCAAAGCCAGCAAUCGAAAUCUUGAUAUCCAAAAACAACCAGAAAAAGCUAUUUGUUAUGAAUAGGGAGGUUUUUACAAAGCAAUGACUGUUAAAAAAUUCAAACCAGAAGCACCGAAGAUGAAGUUCACUCAUAAUCGAUGCUUGAACCUUCAUGGGAAGAAUGAAAAGCAUAAAAUUUGAGAUGAUUCAAUAUACAUACCAAAAAGCUGUGUUUAGAACAAUCGAAAGUGCAGAAAAGCAUCUCUGUGGGACGCAGGGAUAACAAUCAAUUGAAAAAGAAGAAGAAAG